rnacentral:ncRNA from 1 species
UAAUGGAGAAUAUAUUCUACAAAAAUGUAUUUGAUGUAUUCUUGUUGAUGGGGAAGUAGUUAGGCUGUGGCCACAUAUGUGCUACAAUGGCAAUUACAAUGGGAAGCAAGGAUACGAAGCAGAGCGAAUCUGGUAAGAUUGCUUCAGUUCAUAUUGUUCUCUGCAAAUCAGGAACAUGAAGUUGGAACUA